rnacentral:rRNA from 1 species
GAUGAACGCUGGCGGCGUGCCUAAUACAUGCAAGUCGAGCGAACAGACGAGGAGCUUGCUCCUCUGACGUUAGCGGCGGACGGGUGAGUAACACGUGGAUAACCUACCUAUAAGACUGGGAUAACUUCGGGAAACCGGAGCUAAUACCGGAUAAUAUAUUGAACCGCAUGGUUCAAUAGUGAAAGACGGUUUUGCUGUCACUUAUAGAUUGAUCCGCGCCGCAUUAGCUAGUUGGUAAGGUAACGGCUUACCAAGGCAACGAUGCGUAGCCGACCUGAGAGGGUGGUCGGCCACACUGGAACUGAGACACGGUCCAGACUCCUACGGGAGGCAGCAGUAGGGAAUCUUCCGCAAUGGGCGAAAGCCUGACGGAGCAACGCCGCGUGAGUGAUGAAGGUCUUCGGAUCGUAAAACUCUGUUAUUAGGGAAGAACAAAUGUGUAAGUAACUAUGCACGUCUUGACGGUACCUAAUCAGAAAGCCACGGCUAACUACGUG